rnacentral:rRNA from 1 species
AACGCGAAGAACCUUACCCAGGCUUGACAUACAGUAGACCGAUCCAGAAAUGGAUCUUUCCUUCGGGACUGCUGUACAGGUGCUGCAUGGCUGUCGUCAGCUCGUGCCGUGAGGUGUUGGGUUAAGUCCCGCAACGAGCGCAACCCUUAUCAUUAGUUGCCAACAUUUCGGAUGGGAACUCUAAUGAGACUGCCUGGGUUAACCAGGAGGAAGGUGAGGAUGACGUCAAGUCCGCAUGGCCCUUAUGUCUGGGGCUACACACGUGCUACAAUGGUCGGUACAGAGGGCAGCGAAGCCGCGAGGUGAAGCAAAUCCCACAAAGCCGGCCCCAGUUCAGAUUGUAGUCUGCAACUCGACUACAUGAAGAUGGAAUUGCUAGUAAUGGCGAGUCAGCAACAUCGCCGUGAAUACGUUCCCGGGCCUUGUACACACCGAUACUC